rnacentral:rRNA from 1 species
GAUGAAUGCUGGCGGCGUGCCUAAUACAUGCAAGUCGAGCGAACAGACGAGGAGCUUGCUCCUCUGACGUUAGCGGCGGACGGGUGAGUAACACGUGGAUAACCUACCUAUAAGACUGGGAUAACUUCGGGAAACCGGAGCUAAUACCGGAUAAUAUUUUGAACCGCAUGGUUCAAUAGUGAAAGACGGUUUUGCUUUCACUUAUAGAUGGAUCCGCGCCGCAUUAGCUAGUUGGUAAGGUAACGGCUUACCAAGGCAACGAUGCGUAGCCGACCUGAGAGGGUGAUCGGCCACACUGGAACUGAGACACGGUCCAGACUCCUACGGGAGGCAGCAGUAGGGAAUCUUCCGCAAUGGGCGAAAGCCUGACGGAGCAACGCCGCGUGAGUGAUGAAGGUCUUCGGAUCGUAAAACUCUGUUAUUAGGGAAGAACAAAUGUGUAAGUAACUAUGCACGUCUUGACGGUACCUAAUCAGAAAGCCACGGCUAACUACGUG